CUCAUCUGCAAACUGGACAUAAUAACGCAUACCUAUCUCAUGGGAGGGGAGGUCUAAGAGGAGUAAAGGGAAUGUGUGUGAGGUGCACAGUACCUAGGAGAUGCUUAAUAAAUGGCAGCUCUUGUGGUUUCUCUUGAAUCCCCUUCACGAGAGGCUCACUCUUGCUGCUCCUAGCACUGGAAGGAGCUCGCCAGCCUCUUACUAAUAACACUUUCUCUCUCAAAGGGUUCAACUCUCAUAAAAACAUAGUUUGGUUCUUUUCCAGUGAGUUCCAACCACUCCCUUCAUUCUUCUUAAGACCAUUACUGUUAAAACAUCCAAUUUGUCCAAAAUACAGAUUUGCAAAUUAAUUCUAUUAAAGAGGUAUAUUAAGUGAUCUGCAUUGUCCAAUUAAUGCCAGAAGCCCUUGAGUCCCAGCUCAUGAAAGAGUCUUGGUACAUAACCCAUCUUCUCUGAUCCAAUCCAAUCUUAGUUGGCCCGGUUGUAGUUUGGAAAUGGAGACGAAGUUGCUGCAAACAACUUGGCCUCAGAUGAGACUCUUAGGGAAGAGAGCUGCUGAAAAUCAUCCUGUGUCGGGAAGGAGGACACGCUUGUAAAGAACGGCGCGCCACGGAGACUGGACACCCUUGGUUAUGACCGUGUUUCGGCUCGCCUGGGUCUUGUAGGUCUCGCUUUUGAGGGACUGGCUGAAGGGAAAAAACAAACUGCAGCUGGGAGCUGUCCCCUCGUGUGGGCUUCACAAGGUGGCACAGAUCUUCUUGGAGGUCCGUGGAGUCUGGUACAGUCUCCCAAGCACCACCUCAGUCCUCCACUCUGCUGCGCUUUUCCAGGGAGAUGGGUAGAUGGCUCCAUUUUACAGAUAAGGUACACAGAGGUCCAGAGAGGUUUAAUAACUUGUCCAAGCUCACCCAACUAGUAAGAGGCAUGCCCAUGACAAACAAUCAUAGAAUCUAUGGGCUUGCAGAUUUUGACCCAUUCUACCCUUAGGAAUCUCAGAAUGUUCUGUUCACGCUUUGGAAUCAGUAGGAUUCCAUGGCAGAAGGAAAAUUGAAUCUAUUCCUGGCCCUUCUCCAAGCCAAUAAUCAGCGCUCGCCAAAUCUGGAUGAGGCAAAAUUUGUUGGGAUCUCUCCGCCCUCCGUGCUGCUGUCAGAGCCGUCAGCUGGGGCUGCAGUUGGGGUAGCAAGCGUCAGUAUGGGCAGGGGUUGAAAGCAUAGUCCUUGGGGUCAGACGGACCUGCGGUCAAGUUCUGGCUUUGCCUCUUACUGGCCGUAAGACCUUGGACAAGAAGCUUUACUUCUCUAGGCUUUAACAUGAAAAUAAAAACAACAACCAAUAACUUUUAUUGAGUGCUUACCAUGCGCCAGGCAUUGCCUUAAGCUCUUCCCUUGCAUUCUUUAUUUCCUCAUCUCAUCAACCCUAUGAGGUAGAAUUGUCCACAUGUUACAGAUGAGGACACACUAAAAAUGAAAUUUCAAAAACCCUGAGGUGGUAGGGAAAAUAUACCCAAUGCCAGGGUUCAACUCAGCGCUCCUCAGUGUCCUUCACCUUGGCCAGGGGUCAGAAGACUUUUUAAAGGGCCAGAGGGUAAAUGUUUUAGGCUUUCAGGGACAUAGAGUCUCUGUCCCUACUCUUCAAUUCUGCCCUUAGAGCACAAACAUAGCCAUAGACAACAUGUAAGUGGCAGACGGGGUUGUGUUCCGAUAAGUUAGAUUUUAUUUUUUUAGCAAAAACAAGCAGUGGACUGCAGUGGUCUGACUCCUGACCUAGCUGAAUGGCUUCCCCUCUUACUGGUAAGGGCAAAUCCUGCUAAACUUCCAUCUAUUCCUUCUUUUCCUGGCUUUUUUCCUUGUAAGUGCCUGAGCCCCCCUUGCUGGAGAGGCUAACAUAUUGACAUAACAAAAGAAGACGGGGACACUGGGUAAUGAAGUGGGGGGUGGGGUGGGGGAGGGAACGAGGCGAGCCUGUAAGCUUGCUGGUCUCUACCAGCCAGUGAAGUGACACGGUCCCAGCAGGGACAGUGUUUGGAUCGGGUUGGUAGGAAAACGGGUCACAUAGUUCUGAGGGGCGAGGAGGGAGACCUGCCUGGAUGGGACCAAAACCCUAGGCUGUAACCAGGGUGAAGGAAACCAGUCUUGGCAGCAGGAAGCAUUAGAUGGACGCAGUCAAGAGGACUGAGUUAAGGGUUCAUAUCCAGCCCCCGGAAGGGCUGCAAGUACAGCGGGAAAUGGAGGCAGAAGUUCAUUCAAGGAACUGGGCAAAGAACAUGGAGUUGGAAAAGAAGCUGUGGAUGACUCCGAACCUUGUCUGCUGGUAAGAUGGGGCCACUAAGAUCCUGGCUGCCUGCAGCAUGGUGGGCUCCGGACCAGUGAAGAGCUGGGCC
ensembl:lncRNA